GGACGACGCUGGCGGCGUGCCUAAAACAUGCAAAGUCGAACGAGGCCUUUCGGGUCUAGUGGCGAACGCGGAGUAAUACAUGAACAACGUGCCCCUAAGUCUGGGACAAACGCAGAAAUGUUAUAAAUACCAGAUGUGGCCGGAGAAGGACAUCCUUUUCCGAUUAAAGGUUUUUCGCUUAGGGAGCGGUUCAUGGCCUAUCAGCUAGUUGGUGGGUAACGGCCUACCAAGGCGACGACGGGUAGGGGGUCUAAGAGGAUGAUCCCCCGAGUGGGACUGAGACACGGCCCACACACCUACGGGUGGCAGCAGUUGGGAAUCUUGCACAAUGGGGGAAACCCCUGAUGCAGCGACGCCGCGUGGAGGAUGACGGAUCUAGGUCUGUAAACUCCUUUUUCAGGGAAAGACUUAGGACGGUACCCUGAGAAUAAGGACCGGCUAACUACGUG
rnacentral:rRNA from 1 species